CCCCACACCUUCUUCUCCGUGUGGCACGACUUCUCCUCCGACUUUAAAGACCUGUGGAAGAAGGAGAACAAGAUGAUCCUACAGGAAAGACUGAAGAAGGCAGAGGAGUGCUUCAGACAAGCCAAGGAGAAGGCUACCUACAGUGUCAAACCCAAGCAUGCUUCGGGAAUCAAAGCCAAGCUGGGCAUGAAGAUUUAAGACCGGUGGACGGCUACGUUUACUGUAGAGAGACACGAGGAACAACCACAUUGGACUGCAUGUACUACUACACACAAUUCCCUAUGUAGGGCACUACUUUAGACCAGGGUCCCAUAGGGCUCUAGUCUAAAGUAGUGCACUACAUAGGGAAUAGGGUCCCAUAGGGCUCUAGUCUAAAGUAGGGCACUACAUAGG